GAUGAAGAACGUAGCGAAAUGCGAUAAGUAAUGUGAAUUGCAGAAUUCAGUGAAUCAUCGAAUCUUUGAACGCACAUUGCGCCCGCCAGUAUUCUGGCGGGCAUGCCUGUUCGAGCGUCAUUUCAACCCUCAAGCCCAGCUUGGUGUUGGGGAUCGGCACAGGCGCCCUCGGGCGCCCGCCGUCCCCUAAAUCUAGUGGCGGUCCCGCUGCAGCCUCCUCUGCGUAGUAGUUUUCUCCUCGCAAGGGCAGCUCGGUGGCGACCUCGCCGUAAAACCCCCAACUUCUGAAAGGUUGACCUCGAAUCAGGUAGGAAUACCCGCUGAACUUAAGCAUAUCAUUAAGCGGAGGA
rnacentral:misc_RNA from 1 species